rnacentral:lncRNA from 1 species
GGUGGUGGGCACGAUGCAAUCUGUACAGAAGCUGAAAUAUAAUAAUGUACACAACGUUAUAAGCCAAAAUGACCUCAAUAAAAUAAUUUUUAAAAAAACAUAAAACAGAAACUCUGGGGAUGAGGCCCAGCUACCUGUGUUUUAACAAGCCCUCUGGGUGACUCUGAUGCACACUACAGUUUGAGACCCGCCGACCAAUGGCUGACGCUCCCCAGCUUCCCUCCGCACCAUCCCAUAUCUGUGUUCAAAGGCGAGGUGGCUAGAUCACCAGCACCCUAAUGAGAGAGCCCUCUGGAGCACGCUGGAGAUUGCUGUCCUUGGUCCUCUCCUGAUGCUAUUUUUAUUAAUGACUUGGCUGGAGGCACAGAUGGCACCCUGAUCUCAUUAACAGAUGAUGGAAAGCUGGAUAGGGUAGAGAUGUUGAACGAUGACAUUAUACCCAGACACACAGCGACGGUCCAAAUCUAUCAAGAUGAGACAUAAUAGGGUAUACUAGUUAGGAGUAGGUUCAGCUUUGAGUGACAGAACACUCAACACAGCAGUGGCUUAAUAAGAGAGAAAUUUACUUCUCGUUCACAUAAGUGAAGUGCAGAAGUGUCAGGCCGGAGUCAAUGUGGGCUCUGCUCCCUGCAAUCCCAACAGCUCCAGCUCCCCAUCCAUCCCGUUCCUCAGGUAUGGCCUCAUCCUCAAGUCAAAAAUGGUGACAUUCACGUUUCAGAUAGCAGAAUGGAGGAAGGAUGGAGAAAAAGGCCAGUUCUUGCUGUCUGUUAAGGAUUCUGGACGCUACCACAUCAUCCUUCUGUUUGCAUCCUGUUGGCCAAAACUUAGUCUCAUGGCUCCAGUUGCAAUGGAAGUUGAGGCUUGUAGUCUAUUUCUCUAGGCAGCUCAGCUAUAACUGUUACUACAUGGAAGAAAGGGAGCAUAAAUAUGAGCAUGAGUCUCUGCCAACCAAAGCACAAACAAAGUCCUUUACGUAAGGCCCACAGUUUUGGUGGAGAAGAGGAAGGUAGGAAGUAAUAGCCACGCGGGUAAGCCUCUGCUCAUGACUUACAAAAGCAGAAAGCCCACGCCAUCAUGGUUUAAGUAAAAACAGAAAGUGCGGGAUAUGAAACUGGAAUCUCCAACACAGUGCUACCUUCAGGAAUGUCUCAAAUCAUGUCAUCAAGAUUUGUCUCUUCUCCGUAUCUCAGCUCCACAGUCUUCCAUGUUGGGUUUAUCCCCUGCUUCAGGUGGUGGCAAAAUGUCUGCCUGCAGGUCCAGGCCCCUGUUCCCCGAACCUGCUGGUAGACCAGGGAGAGAUUCAAGCUCCUUCUUCCCCACCGUCACCUCCGCUUGUUUCUCAGAUCAGCUUCCUCUAGCAAAGUGGUUCUCAACCCUGGCUACUCACUGGGCUCCCCUCAGGAGCUUUUUAAAAUUCCUGAUACUCCGGCCUCUUCCUAAAUCUGAUUUUGUUGGUCAGAGUAGGGCCCUGGUGUCUUAAAAUCCUCCCCAGGUGACUCUCCUGUGCAUU